rnacentral:rRNA from 1 species
GACGUAGGGCGCGAGCGUUGUCCGGAUUUAUUGGGCGUAAAGAGCUCGUAGGCGGCUUGUCGCGUCGUCCGUGAAAACCUGCAGCUCAACUGCAGGCUUGCGGUCGAUACGGGCAGGCUGGAGUUCGGUAGGGGAGACUGGAAUUCCUGGUGUAGCGGUGAAAUGCGCAGAUAUCAGGAGGAACGCCGGUGGCGAAAGCGAGCUGCUGGACCUCUACUGACGCUGAGGCGCGAAAGCCAGGGGAGCGAACGGG